AUAAGUGCAAAUUCCAUUAAAAAUAUUGCGAAUAAAUGAAUCCUAAUUUCUUUCGUUUCAAUUGAACCUUCAACCGAUUUUGGUUGCAAUUUUUGUCUUUUGCCUAUGUCUAAGUAGGGAGCAUUAUUGCAUAAAUUUUGUCUUGAAGUCUAAAGUUGGGGAGAGUAACUUAGAAGAGUUGAUAAAAACUUGAAAAAGUUGUGUUUUAGAAAAGGUGAAAGUGUGAAAAGAAACAAGAACAAUAAGUCACCUUUGAAAUUAUGGAGCUAGU
rnacentral:lncRNA from 1 species